UGAGUUUGAAUCCUGGCUCAGGAUGAACGCUGGCGGCGUGCCUAAUACAUGCAAGUCGAGCGAACUGAUUAGAAGCUUGCUUCUAUGACGUUAGCGGCGGACGGGUGAGUAACACGUGGGCAACCUGCCUGUAAGACUGGGAUAACUUCGGGAAACCGAAGCUAAUACCGGAUAGGAUCUUCUCCUUCAUGGGAGAUGAUUGAAAGAUGGUUUCGGCUAUCACUUACAGAUGGGCCCGCGGUGCAUUAGCUAGUUGGUGAGGUAACGGCUCACCAAGGCAACGAUGCAUAGCCGACCUGAGAGGGUGAUCGGCCACACUGGGACUGAGACACGGCCCAGACUCCUACGGGAGGCAGCAGUAGGGAAUCUUCCGCAAUGGACGAAAGUCUGACGGAGCAACGCCGCGUGAGUGAUGAAGGCUUUCGGGUCGUAAAACUCUGUUGUUAGGGAAGAACAAGUACGAGAGUAACUGCUCGUACCU
rnacentral:rRNA from 1 species